CAGGUGCUGCAUGGCUGUCGUCAGCUCGUGCGUGAGAUGUUGGGUUAAGUCCCGUAACGAGCGCAACCCUGUCCUUAGUUACCAGCACGUUAUGGUGGGCACUCUAAGGAGACUGCCGGUGACAACCGGAGGAAGGUGGGGAUGACGUCAAGUCAUCAUGGCCCUUACGGCCUGGGCUACACACGUGCUACAAUGGUCGGUACAAAGGGUUGCCAAGCCGCGAGGUGGAGCUAAUCCCAUAAAACCGAUCGUAGUCCGGAUCGCAGUCUGCAACUCGACUGCGUGAAGUCGGAAUCGCUAGUAAUCGUGAAUCAGAAUGUCACGGUGAAUACGUUCCCGGGCCUU
rnacentral:rRNA from 1 species